rnacentral:lncRNA from 10 species
AUGAGUCAAGACUUUGGGGCACUGUUGGGAAGCCAUGAUAGUGUUUUGAAAUGUGAGAAGGACAUGAGAUUUGGGAGGGGCCAAGGUCAAAAUGAUAUGGUUUGACUCUUUGUCUCCACCCAAAUGUCAGGUGGAAUUUUAGUUCCUACUGCUGGAAGAGAGACCUAGUGGGAGGUGAUUGGAUCAUGGGGGAAGACUUCCCCCUUGCUGUUCUCAUGAUAGUGAGUGAGUACUCACAAGAUCUGGUUGUUUGAAAACGUGUAGCACUUCCCCCUUCUCUCUCUCGCUCUCUCUCCUGUCACCAUGUGAAGAUGUACCUGCAUCUCCUUCACCUUCUGCAUGACUAAAACAUAUUGCAACCAAUUAAUUAGACAGGUGGAUAGAUGUGGAAAACUAAUCCCCAUUAGGCUCAUUUCUUACAAGCAAUAAACGUUAACUAAGACACUUUAUCAGGUGUAAGGAAACCAGAAAAGGAUGAUUUAAUAUUUGAUCGCCAUUAUGAAGCUCACCUCUGCAAUUAGCAUUGACUUCCAGCAGCUGGAAUACAAUCAGAAGAUACUUGUCAUGAAAUGUUGAAAAUUGAAAGGACUCUGUCUCUACAACCAACUAUGGAUGUUAGAUGUUCUUCCUUAUCAUUCUCUCUUUUUUUUUUUUUUUUGUCACAGCAAUUCUCCUAAUCUGUAACCCAUCCCUCUCUUCCCUACUUCAUUCUUACUUCUCUCUCUCACUGUCUCUCAUGUAUUUGUGUGUGCUUUGUGUGUAAGGACCACAUAUGUUCUAUGUUAAUAUGAGAAUAUGUUAAUAUGAGGAUAUUAACUAGGAGGUAAAAAUUUGCUGAACAAACAAACGCAGAUUCUGUGAUUAUUUUGAAAUACUUUGCCAGCAAAGAUUAUUAUAUGGAAGAUGUUGUUACUGUUCCAGAAUUGGUAACUUUGAAUAAAUUAUUUGCCUCUAGAGUUAUGUUGCUACAAAACAAUUAUAUCAGAUAGUUUCUAGUAGCUUUUUACUAAGCAGGUACAUUUAUAUAUAAGAAAAAUUAACAUUAAGAAGAAACUUCAAUAUAAAUAUUCACAACUAUCUAAUAAAUAAGAAACAUAAUAAAUAGAUAUCAAAGAACUUGUUAAUUGUCCCAUGAAAGCUAACUGAAUAGAAAGAAAAGCUUUUAAAGUCUAAACAUUUUAAAUUUCUAAACAAAAUAUGGAAUAAGAAUAAUUUAAGACCAAUUUUUAAACCUCAUUAUUCCUUUAAUCAUCAUAUAAUUUUAAUUACUAUUAUUUAGAUUGGCCAUUGCUUUGGUGUUUUCUACUUUGCAGAAAUAUUCAUAAUAAAUUUCUACCUAAACAUCCAGAACAACUGAGACUUGUAAAAUCAGCCAAUAGAUGGUGCUAACUGUGGCAUUUGCUAAAACACUGACAAAUCUGUUAAAAGCGUUGAGCUUUGUUGAAAUGGAUUUAGUCGGCUUUUAGUGAGUGUCAUAAUAACCUCAGUGUAAUGCAUAUGUUAAAUGAGCAGUCGUAGAAUAUGUUCUAAAACUCAUCAAGUUUUAUUGGGAGGCUGAUAGGCUUUAUUUCCUGCUGUACAGAUAUAGUGAAUCAUAGGGAGUGUUAGGAAAGAAGUUCAAUGAGGAUUCAACCUUGAAUCUUUCUGCUCAUUGGAAAUCCCAAUUAGGAAUAAGACACAUAUAUAAGAUUUAUAUAAUGUCUUUCCUCCAUAAGACCUAAGGUGACAUAUACAUUACCUCUUAAAACAAACAACAUCCUUUGAAAGGUUAACCAUCACUCUGGACAAAAAGAUGCAGUUCUCAGGAUAUAUGUAAAUCUGGAGUUGGAGGAAAUCAAAGCACGGAAAUGGAAUCAGGGACAUUAUACACUGUCGCUUAAAGGCACGUUCUCUGCCAUUGUAUUACCUGUGGUGCAAAUCCUGCUUCUGCCAGUGAUGUCCUUGGCAAAUUACCUGACCCCUCUAUGCUUUAGUUUUCUGUAUCUUUAUAUAGAAAUAAUAACAAUAAUACCCAUCUAUUAAGGUUGUUGUAAGAAUUAAAUGAGUUAAUACAUAUAUAAGGCUUAGGAUAGUGUCUGAUAUGUAAUAAUAUGUAACCUUAGAUCCUCCCUAAUUACUUUUAUGUUUUUUAUUAUAUCUCUAUUAAAAUGUUUAAUGAACAUAAAGUUUAAAUGAUUUUGUACUCAGGGGGACAUAAACUUGCACUGUUUUUGCACGAGAUGCUGUACAUAACAGAGUUUCUAGCACCUUAGAGUUUGUAAAGUGUAGAAUGAGUAGCAUUCUCUGAGUCUAGGUUAGUACUUUGAUGUUUAGAUGUAUUGAAACUGAUGCUUCGCAUAUUUAUUUCUUUAAAACAUAAACUGACUAAAGUCUACAUGUUCAUGUGCAGGUAAUAUGGCCAAUAUGGGCUUCAAUUAGCUAAACCAAUCUCAGUCACAUUCCUCUAUUUGGCUGGGCAGAAAUGGUUUAGGAUUAAAAUACUUGACUAUUUGAGUUAAAUACAUCCAGCCUGAUCAUCAGGUGCCACACCAUAAAUUAUUCCUUUCAAAGCCCUUUUUGGUACUUGGAUUAAGUAAUUAUCCUACCUGCCUAAGUGCUUUACAAAGUGGGUUGCUUUUGCUAACCUAGGCUCUCCCAAGUUUUCAUAAUACCAUUAUUACUUUAACAUACCAUUCCAUUAUUGCCAUGAGACAAUCCUGUAAGGUAAACAUUACCAAAUUUCACUCAUUGGUCAGAUUAUUUAAUUCCCAGACAAGGUUUUCACUGGUUCUUAAAGUUUGUUAUAGUGGAAUUUGGGUCAUCCUAAUGUCAUGUAGCAUGUUCUAAAGGGAUUAAAUGGGACACAAAGGGAGACAGAGGCAUAUUUAAAAAUGUCUAAAUAUGAGUAACAAUUCUGUCACUGGUAGGUUAAAUUAUUAAUAAUUGUAGAGAAAAUAAUGUUUGUCUAUUAUGAGAUAAUAAACUACUAUAUUGC